rfam:Cephalotus follicularis DNA, scaffold: scaffold4219, isolate: St1.
UCUAAUGGACAAGUUAACAUAAAAAUUCUAGAGUUAAGUGUGCUCGAGCGAGAGAAAUUCUAUGAUGGGUGACCUCCUGGGAAAUUAAGUUGUGUUGUGA